rnacentral:rRNA from 1 species
GUCCACGCCCUAAACGAUGUCAACUGGUUGUUGGACGGCUUGCUGUUCAGUAACGAAGCUAACGCGUGAAGUUGACCGCCUGGGGAGUACGGCCGCAAGGUUGAAACUCAAAGGAAUUUACGGGGACCCGCACAAUCGGUGGAUGAUGUGGUUUAAUUCGAUGCAACGCGAAAAACCUUACCUACCCUUGACAUGUCUAGAAGUUUCCAGAGAUGGAUUCGUGCUCGAAAGAGAACUAGAACACAGGUGCUGCAUGGCCGUCGU